UCGCGGCUUAUCACCGGCAGUCCCCUUAGAGUGCCCAACUUAAUGAUGGCAACUAAGGGCGAGGGUUGCGCUCGUUGCGGGACUUAACCCAACAUCUCACGACACGAGCUGACGACAGCCAUGCAGCACCUGUGUUCCCGCCAGCCGAACUGAAGAACUCCAUCUCUGGUGUUCAUACGGGACAUGUCAAAGGCUGGUAAGGUUCUGCGCGUUGCUUCGAAUUGAACCACAUGCUCCACCGCUUGUGCGGGCCCCCGUCAAUUCCUUUGAGUUUCAACCUUGCGGUCGUACUCCCCAGGCGGGGUACUUCCUGCGUUAGCGCCGGCACCCAGAGGGUCAAUACCCCGGACACCUAGUGCCCAUCGUUUACAGCGUGGACUAC
rnacentral:misc_RNA from 1 species